UGGGAAGGCUUCUUGCUUAGAUGAGUGUUCCUGCUCGGAAAACACACUAGACUUUGUUAAUGUUGAACGUAAAUGAGUUAGAGCACUCAUUUGGGCAAGAAGUCUUCCAA
rnacentral:pre_miRNA from 1 species